rnacentral:sRNA from 1 species
UAAAGUAAGCUUAUAGCUGAAAUCAAGCUCGUUAUUUUUUUUAUUUACGGAAGGAGAGGAUAACCGUCCCGAAAAGGAUAAAUAUAUACAGCGCCGCUUGUCAUAUAACGGCGCUUUUCUUGACGCGAUUAGCCGGACGCUGCUUGCAUGGGCGGGGAUAGGCGAUAGAGCCGGAGGAACCCCGGCGAGUACCCGUUUACAUGGCUAUUAUCGCAAAGGAGAACACAAUGCGCCCCUACAAUAACACUCCGCGAGGUAUAAAUUAUAU